UUUUUUUGCCAUGGUGUGCAAUGGCUUGAUGUGGACUCUCAGUUCCCAGGCCAGGGAUGGAACUCUUGGGCCACAGUGGUGAAAGUGCUGAAUCCUAACCACUAAGACCACCAGGGAACUCACUCCUAUAGCUCUUAAAGUCUUUUCUUGCCUUUAACAUCUUGGCAGGCUUCAAUUCACUCUGAACCUUACUCUUCUCUGAUUUUUGUAGGUUUAUGCCACUCUUGUGUUUUUGUUAUGUUUCAUGACGUUCUCUCACUUCCAUCAUUUCUGCAUCUUCACUAGAAACACAAACUCAGAGAUGAGCGACCCCUAUAAUUUAUGCUUUCUUUAGAUGUCUCUCUCUUGUUUCCUCAUAGAUUCAUUUGUGGUUAUACUGUAACUGUCUGGUUUCUAUUUCCCCUUUUUGAGCUCCUGAUCUUGGGGUUUGGAUUUUCAGACUUUCUUUUCCUAAAUCUUGGGCCGACUGGAGACUGGCAGCUGUGAAUGGUGAUCCAGGGGCAGAGCUGGUCCCUAAAGCAAAUACAGGAUUGGACCUGGGCGAUGCAUUAUUUAAAGAAUUUUGGCUUUGAGGAGGAGUUCUCGUUGUGGUUUAGUGUUUAACAAAUCUGACUAUGAACCAUGAGAUUGUGGGUUUGAUCCCUGGCCUUGCUCAGUGGGUUAAGGAUCCGGCAUUGCCAUGAGCUGUGGUGUAGGUUGCAGACGCAGCUCGGAACCCGCAUUGAUGUGGCUGUGGCAUAGGCCGAUCCAAACCUUAUCUGCAGCCUACACCACAGCUCACAGCAACACUGGAUCCUUAACCCACUGAGCGAGGCCAGGGAUUGAACCUGCAUCCUCAUGGCUAAGCCACAACAGAAACUCCGACUCCUGCCUUUUCUAUACCAGCUUGACCUCUGCAGACAUUUGUGGGCAUGACUCUGCCAUUGGCUGUGACUGGUGGUCUUUCCUCUGUGAGCCUUUGCCUGAUCUCCUGCCCCUACUUCUGGCCUGUUUCAGCAGCUGAAGCUUACACCCAAAGCCCCUGCAACUCCAGGCUGGGAGACUUUCAGGCAACAUCAGGACACAGCACAAGACCCUCCCCCGAGUCAGGCUGGCUCCCCAGUGUCCUGGAAAAGCAGCGAGUUCAUUAUGGCUCCCACAUCUAUUCCCCUGGGCCCCUUUCUAGAAUGUACUCCCUCCCCCAGCAUCCUGCAUAGAGUCGGUUUACCAGGCAGUGCCCAUUCCCCAGCACAGUUUUCCCUUGUGUCUGUAGCUCUGUUCUGGAACCUGUUCAAUGUCUCUGCUCAUCCCAGGCUGUGGCCCUGCCCAUCUCCCCCCCCCAGUCCCGGAAUCAGCAUCUGGCUGAAGCACAGCAGAUGAAUGCCCCCCCCCCCGCCCCCGACAACUAACAAUGCAGGCUUCUUUCUCCUCCUGAGAUGCCCCCUGUGGCCCUUACCUGGGACCCCUGGAUACCAGCCCUCCUCCAGUCAUCACAGCCCAGGCUCUGACUCCGGCCCUGCUUCCUGGAAUGGCCUGCACACCACAUCCUGUUCCUGGCAAUUACAAAAUCUAAGAUGACUGAUCCCUUUGCUCCAAACUUCCCCAAAUGUCUUCCUCAUCACACCACGACUCCCUGAUGGUCAUCAUUCAGCUUGGAGUAAUCACUGACCUCGCUGCUGUCACCCAUUCCACAGCCACACUCAUGUGCAAAAAACAAAAAAACCCCCCCCCCCCAAAAAAAACCCCACAAAACCUGCUUUUUCCAAGCUCCUCAAACGUUUCCUGAUCUCAUCAAUGAGUGGCUGCAGGACCUCUGGCACACUUCUGCCAUGUCUGGAACGCUAAUUCUUUGAAAACUGGUUCAGCUGGUUAUGCCAAAUUUCUUUUCCAGAACACUCAAUUAGCUCGACGCUUUCUAUCAGCCAUUCCUUAACCAUUGCUUGUUGGCAAAUUCCUGUGUUAUUCUCUUUAGCAAAUUGUUUACAAAUUAGAGGAUCCAGGAGGAGACAGUCUGGCACCUUCUCUCAGGGGGAAGGUGAAGGUACCAUCUGGAGCCGAGCCAUGUGGAGGGCAGACAGACCUCACUAAACCUUGGAUGCUGAGGAUGGAAAGCGAAAGGGAAAGUCCUACAGAACUCAGCCGUAAAAGCACCUUCCUACGGCCAUGGUCGAGUUUACACUUGAGAGAGAAUUAGAGCUCGGUGCCAAAAGCAGCAAAAUUGACAGAGUCAAGAAGUCACAUCCUUUAAGGUAAAUCAGUUCUGAGUGAAGACCCUGGCCUCCUGGCUGCAGGUUGCUACAGGAAAUCUUAUUCUCAGUGGACCAUGAUGAUCCUGAAAAGGCAAGUAAAAAGGAGAGGAGCUCUCGUCGUGGCUCAGCAGGCUAAGGACCCACCGUAGUCUCCCCAAGGAUGUGGGUUGAAUUCCUAGCCUCACUCAGUGGGCUAAGGAUCUGGCACUGCUGGGAGUUGCGGCAUAGGUCACAGAUGUGGCUCAGAUCCUGUACUGACGUGGCUGUGGUGUAGGCUUCAGCUGCAGCUCUGAUUUGACCCUGAGCCUGGAAACUUCCAUAUGCCACAGCUAUGGCUGUAAAAAGAAAAAAAAAAAAGAAGAGUGGGGGAAUUUCUCUGUGCCUUUCAUGCAGGAGAUGUUCCUUUUCUCUUUGGUGAUGACUGCCUUGUGGUAAAUCUGCUUAGUGCUAAGUAAGCUCUGAAAUGACACAGCAUGUAUGCCAGCAAAUCACGCAUCAGGAUGACUGUGGCUCCAGGGCAGGUGCUUACGUGGCCUUAUCCUGCUUGUGUGCGGACCGCUUGCAUUUGGGCAUUUAUGGGAGGGAGGGCUCAGGAUGAGGCAGCAAAGGCUGGAUCCUCCCGGCCAGCAGGCUGACCAGACUGGGAGUGUGCAGGGCAGAGGCCCGGGCCAGGAGUGUUUCAGAAAUGGUCACAGCCCAUCAGCGCUAGUGCCAAGCUGAUUAGCAUUAUCUGAACCUUCCCCUCCAGGUGCAAGCAUUACUACAUCCCCUGGGAUGAGCUCAAGAGGCCCAGAGUUCUUUUAGAAAUGGGCUGGGAAAAGGUUUAAAAUAGAAAAUUUUUCUUUUCUUUUUAUGGCCCCACUUGCAGCAUAUGGAAGUUUGAAGGCCAGGGGUUGAAUUGGAGCUGCAGCUGUGGCCUACACCACAGCUUGUGGCAAUGCUGGAUCCUUAACCCACUGAGCCAGGGAUCAAACCUGCAUCCUCAAGGAGACGACGUCAGAUUCUUAAACUGUUAAGCCACAAAGGCAACCCCCCCCCCCCCCAGAAUUUUUAAAUAAAAAAAGAAAACUUGGUCACUGACACCCUUUUCAUCUUGUGGGGGGUGGAGAAGGGCGGGGUGGGGGAGUCAGGAGUCAGGGCCCUGUCCUGUGAUGGACAGUCCACUGGCAUUUGAUAACCUGUCCAGAGCAUCUGGCCUCGAUGCUAUCCUUCGCCCCAUCAGGAGGCCCUGGCGAAGCUCUCAUCUCUGACGAUGGCAGACUGAGCCCACCUAUGAUGAACUGUUGUGGGGGUCGGAGGGGGGGUAGGGGGUGGGUGGGUAGGAGGGUGUCAGUGGUUUCCCUCAAUGGACCAAGGUGGGAAUACGGGGUCCUUCCUGCCUCACGCUUACGAACGGCUUGACCUUGACCUCUCUUACUUCAAUUCCCCCUUUCUAAGAUGAGAAGAAACACAGCUGCCUCCUCUGGUUGUUGUAAAGACAGAAGCCUGAACACUAGUGAAUACAGAUGUUCACCAGGAGCUGACCCUCGCCCAGGAGGAAGGGGAUCAUUGCCACGUAGCCCUGGACCACCGGUGAAUUGGGUCAAAUAGGGAAAAUUCACUCAGAUCUAAGCUACCCAAGGAACACUGACUUUCAUUCUCUAGAGCAAAACCUAAGAAGACGCCUGCCCUAUGGAAUAACUGUGUGCUCUUUCCCAAGAAAAGGGGAAAGCCUAAGGUUCCUACUCUGCCAGCCCCAGAGUUUUGGUUAAAAUUUCACCUCUCUGGUGUGCACAUUUGCACGCAGGGGGAUAUCUAAGCCUGAAGAGUCAAACAUGUCACCUGUGAAUGUGCCACCAACAAGAUGUUAAAAUGAGACCUUUUUUGGCCACGCCCACAGCAUGUGCAAGUUCCCAGGCCAGGGAUCCAACCUGGGCCACACAGUGACCCAAGCCAUAGCAGUAACAAUGCUGGAUGCUUAACCCAUUGAGUCACUAGGAAACUCCAUAAAUGAGAUGGUUUCAAUGAGCGAAUUUGCGGCAAAUGCUGAAAUGAUACUCAGAGUGUUGGGCUGAGUUUAUCUGAGAGUAUUUGUUUUCUUUGAAUGCUGCCUGUGGUAUGUGGCAGAGAAUCAAAUCUCACUGUGAGACAGUUUUGUUCCUGGGGGAGCUGGGAUGCAGAACAAAGCCCUGAGAAGAGAACACCACCCAGAGGGAAGGCUGUGACCACACCAUCAGAGAGUGAGGGCUGGUCCUGCCCCUUCACCAAAGUCAGAAAGCGCCUCCAGUGU
rnacentral:tRNA from 1 species